rnacentral:rRNA from 1 species
UACGUAGGUGGCGAGCGUUGUUCGGAUUUAUUGGGCGUAAAGGGUCUGUAGGAGGUCGAUUAAAUUUGGGGUGAAAUCCCGGAGCUCAACUCCGGAACUGCCUUGAAGACUGAUUGACUAGAGUACUGGAGAGGUAAACGGAAUUCCAGGUGUAGCGGUGGAAUGCUUAGAUAUCUGGAAGAACACCGAAAGCGAAGGCAGUUUACUGGACAGUUACUGACUCUGAAAGACGAAAGCGUGGGGAGCAAACAGG